rnacentral:rRNA from 1 species
GAUGAACGCUGGCGGCGUGCCUAAUACAUGCAAGUCGAGCGAACAGACGAGGAGCUUGCUCCUCUGACGUUAGCGGCGGACGGGUGAGUAACACGUGGAUAACCUACCUAUAAGACUGGGAUAACUUCGGGAAACCGGAGCUAAUACCGGAUAAUAUAUUGAACCGCAUGGUUCAAUAGUGAAAGACGGUUUUGCUGUCACUUAUAGAUGGAUCCGCGCCGCAUUAGCUAGUUGGUAAGGUAACGGCUUACCAAGGCAACGAUGCGUAGCCGACCUGAGAGGGGGAUCGGCCACACUGGAACUGAGACACGGUCCAGACUCCUACGGGAGGCAGCAGUAGGGAAUCUUCCGCAAUGGGCGAAAGCCUGACGGAGCAACGCCGCGUGAGUGAUGAAGGUCUUCGGAUCGUAAAACUCUGUUAUGAGGGAAGAACAAAUGUGUAAGUAACUAUGCACGUCUUGACGGUACCUAAUCAGAAAGCCACGGCUAACUACGU